GCCCACCUGUCCUGCAGCACUGGAUGCUUUGUGAGUUGGGGAUUGUUGCGUUCCAUAGCUGGACCCAGAAGGGACUUCCCUGCUCGGGAAACUGGCUCUCAGUUUCUCUGCUUUCCUCCGGAAAAAUAACGGCGUCUUCCGCGCCGCGCAUGGAGUCUCCCGGCCGCCGCGAGUGUCCCUUUCCUUCCUGGCGCUUUCCUGGGUUGCUUCUGGCGGCCAUGGUGUUGCUGCUGUCCUCCUUCUCCGAUGCCUGUGAGGAGCCACCAACAUUUGAAGCUAUGGAGCUCAUUGGUAAACCAAAACCCUACUAUGAGAUUGGUGAACGAGUAGAUUAUAAGUGUAAAAAAGGAUACUUCUAUAUACCACCUCUUGCCACCCAUACUAUUUGUGAUCGGAAUCAUACAUGGCUACCUGUCUCAGAUGACGCCUGUUAUAGAGAAACAUGUCCAUAUAUACGGGAUCCUUUAAAUGGCCAAGCAAUCCCUGCAAAUGGGACUUACGAGUUUGGUUAUCAGAUGCACUUUAUUUGUAAUGAGGGUUAUUACUUAAUUGGUGAAGAAAUUCUAUAUUGUGAACUUAAAGGAUCAGUAGCAGUUUGGAGCGGUAAGCCCCCAAUAUGUGAAAGUAAGUAAAUUCUUUUUCUUUAAAUUUAGACCAGUAGUCCUCAAAGAUUUUUGCCUCCUUUACACCCUUUACACUUUAAGAUUAACAAAGAUCCCAAAGAGAUUUCUUUUAUGUGGGUUAUAUCUAUUGGUAUUUAUCAUAUUGGAAUUCAAACGGAGAGGUUUUUAAAUAAUUAUUGAUUCUUUUUGGUUUUGUUUAUGUUUUUCCUAAGACACGGUCUCAGGCUAUUUCCCAGGCUGAGGUGCAGUGGCACAAUCUCAGCUCACUGCAGCCUCAGCCUCUCCAGUAGCUGGGGCUUCAGGCAUGUGGCACUAUGCCUGGCUUUUUGUAAUUUUUGAAGAGACGGGGUUUUGCCACGAUGCCCAGGCUGGUCUUGAAAUCCCAUGCUCAAGCAGUCUGCUCCCGUGGGCCUCCCAAGUGCUGGGAUUACAAAUGUGAGCCACCCCACCUGGCCUGAUUAAUUUGUAAGAAUAAAUGCAAUACAAAUUAACAUAUGUAACAUAAUUUUUAUGAAAAAUAAUAAUUUUCCAAAUCAAAAUAAAAUUAGUGAGAAUAGUGGCAUUGUUCACAUUUUUUGCACAUCUCUUCAACAUCUGGCUUAAAGCAAGAUUGUAUUAGGCCUGUUGUGUUAUCACACAAUAUGUAGCCUUUGGAAAAAUAUCACUAUAUUCUUAUUAGGAUCAGAGUGAAAAAAGACAAUAAUAUUUUGGUGGUAUUGUGAAUCACCAAUUUAGAAAAUGGAUAUAUUUAUAAAUUGCAAAGGAUUUCUUAACUAGCACUGAGUUAAGCAUAUUUUCUCAUUAAUUGUCAGCAUUUCUUGUGAUGACUAGAACAGAACUUAGCACGGCCUUGCAAACAAAUAUAGGCGUAUUAGGCCGUUUUCGUAUUGCUGUAAAGAAAUACCCGAGACUGGGUAAUUUAUAAAGAAAAGAAGUUUAAUUUGCUCAUGUUUCUACAAGCUGUACAGGAAGCAUGGUGCUGGCAUCUGCUGGGGGUUUGGGUAGGCCUCGGGAAACUUAACAAUCAUUGGGGAAGACAGAAGGAGAGCAAGGUGUCUCACAUGGCAGGAGCAGGAGCAAGGUGGGGAGGACGGGAGGUGUUGCACACUUUUAAAUAACCAGAUCUCCCAAGAACUCAGUAUCAUGAGAACAGCACCAAGGGGAUGGUGCUAAACCAUUCAUGAGAAAUCCACCCCCAUGAUUCAAACACCUACCACCAGGCCCCACCUCCAACAUUGUGGACUACAAUUUGACAUGAGAUUUGGUGGGGACAGAGAUCCAAACCAUAUCAAUAGGUAUUUACACUUUAAGAAAAUGAGAUUUGUUCUGAAAGUUAGUUACUACAUUAAUGGUUUGAAUUUGGGAUGAUAUAUUUGCUCAUAGAAACCUUCUUUUAAAUCCAUAUUGAAUUCACAACCAGCUUGUAGAAACCCUAUAUUGACAAAUUUAUUGAAGACAUAGAAAUUUUACUAAUGCUGUCUUAAUCUUUUACAUUUCCUUUCCUCUUUUUCUUCAUUUUUAAGAGGUUUUGUGUACACCACCUCCAAAAAUAAAAAAUGGAAAACACACCUUUAGUGAAGUAGAAGUAUUUGAGUAUCUUGAUGCAGUAACUUAUAGUUGUGAUCCUGCACCUGGACCAGAUCCAUUUUCACUUAUUGGAGAGAGCACGAUUUAUUGUGGUGACAAUUCAGUAUGGAGUCGUGCUGCUCCAGAGUGUAAAGUGGUCAAAUGUCGAUUUCCAGUAGUCGAAAAUGGAAAACAGAUAUCAGGAUUUGGAAAAAAAUUUUACUACAAAGCAACAGUGAUGUUUGAAUGUGAUAAGGGUUUUUACCUCGAUGGCAGCGACACAAUUGUCUGUGACAGUAACAGUACUUGGGUUCCCCCAGUUCCAAAGUGUCUUAAAGGUACAAAGGUUAUCUUUUUUCUGUCUUGGUUUGUUAUUGUUGUUGCUGUUCAUUUUAGACUUUAUUUCUUUGAUAUUAACUAUCAGUCAUACAGAAUAACUGAAAAGAAACAAUUUUAGUAUUUAACUCUGUCUUGUAUUCAUUUCUAUGCCAGAUGAAUGACACGAAAUUCACAUAAAAUUCUGCUGUUGUGAUUUUUUGUGCUUUUCCAGGGUUCUUAGCACGUUAUGUACAUUGCAUGGGUAUAUGCUUUUAAUAUUUUUAUGUAUAAAAUGAAUUACAACAACUUUUUGGAAUUGAAACAUGGGCAUUUUUAUCUAAGUAAGUCAACAAUGGCAUAAUUCAUAUAAAUGAAAUGAGAGCAAUAACUCCCAAGUGGUUGAUCUUCUAACAUUAUUUUGUUUCCUAGUGCUGCCUCCGUCUAGUACAAAACCUCCAGCUUUGAGUCAUUCAGGUUUAGUAGCUUCUUCCUUAUAUGUCUCAAAAAUCUUGUAAAUUCCUGGAGAAAAUGCCAGCAAUAACUCCCAAGUGUUUGGUCCAAUCUACAUUAUUAUUUUGUUUUCCAGUGUCGACUUCUUCCACUACAAAAUCUCCAGCGUCCAGUGCCUCAGGUUUAGUAAUUUCCUGCUUAUAUUUUUUCAAAAAUCCUUUAAAUUCCUGGUGAUUUUUAAAAAAAUCCUUCAAAUUUCUGGUGAUGUUCACUUAUUUUUAGUAAUGAAAGGAGGGAGGACAUUUGUAUAGCCAUUUUAGUUGUUAUACAUAGUGAUUCUAAAAUUAUUUGCCAUAAUCUGAUAUAAACAGGAAUAUGACCUUGGGAAAGUUGUAUAAAUUUUGAAUGUGUUUAUAUAUAUAUGUUUACAUUAUAUAUAGAGAAAUUGAUUUAGUACCUUCCUUAUUGGGUAUUAGUAAGGUAUAAGUGGGAUGCAUUUAAAGCACUUAGCACAGUGCCUGGUGUAGAGAAAGCUCUUAGAGCUAGCUAAUAUGACUUAUCCUACACUUAAAUUAAUGUUAGGGAAGGGGAAGGUUCAUGUAUGUUUGUUAGUAUGUGUGUGUGUUAAUAUGUUAAUAUGUUUGUUUGUUAAUAUGUAUGUUUUGUGUCAUCAACUUUGCUAUUUUAUUCUUUUCAGAAGUGAUCUGUUGACACCUUUACUGAGUUUGUUCCUAUUGCAGGACUCUUUCAUUUUCUGGAAUGCAACUAGUUUGAGUCUUCUGAUGUAAAACAUUUAAACAGGGAAAUUUCUGCUGUCCUCAGAACAAGAUCUGUAUUUCUGCCUCUUCCCUACCCACCCCUCUUCCACACCUCAUAAUGUUAUUUAUUUUUUUUCUCUUUAGUGGGCAGUUUUAUCUGGCAAUAGCAACUCAAUUUUAUAGCAACUGAAAGGCAGGAAAAGUCCUUAUUUACUGAAAUAAAAUAGAAGACUUUUGCAGGGACUCCUGGUCAACCACUGUGCUUAUGACUGGAGAGAUUAUUUUGAUAUGACGGAAGGAAUUAUCCUGAUUUCAGCACUACCAUCUCUGGUUUCACUUUGCUUCCAGCAGAAGCAAGAGACAAUAGUAAUUGUGGGUAGCACUUCAGUCUGGGCAGACUGUGCUUAGUUGACAUCAUUUCUGUGGUCUUCAGUUUCCCUUUAGUAUAAUGUGAGUGUUGAACUGAAAUCUCAAUCACUGGCUUCUAAUUUGGUUAUAUAUUUCCUAUCUCCCUAAUAUUUUAAAGGAUCGAAGAGAAUUAUGCAUGUUAACAUAGUAAUUAAGAUACCUUCUUAUAGGCUGGGUGGGGUAGCUCACACCUAUAAUACCAGAACUUUGGGAGGCCGAGGUGGGUGGAUCACGAGGUCAGAAGUUCAAGACCAGCCUGGCUAAGUUGGUGAAACCCCAUCUCUACUAAAAAUACAAAAAUUAGCGGGGUGCGGUGGCAGGCACUUGUAAUCCCAGCUGCUCGGGAGGCCGAGGCAGGAGAAUCGCUUGAACCCAGUGGGCAGAGGUUGCAGUGAGCCAAGAUCAUGCCACUGCACUCCAGCCUGGGUGACAGAGUGAGACUCUGUCUCAAAAAAAAAACAAAAACAAAAACCUUCUCAUGAUUCCUGUAAGAGCUUGGUAACUGGUAGCCUCCUGAGUUGAGUGCUGUAGGGUUUGAGGGGCAGGAAGAGAUGAGUUUUUUAGUGGACUGAUACAUGAGCAAAACAAGAUUGCAUGUGAAAUUUAUACUCAGUGAGGCAUCCAGGCUUAACUCACAUGCUCCUAGUGGGUAUUUGCACUAAUACUACGUUUGUUGAUACAGUCUUUUGAAAGAGUUGAUGAUAAGCAUUUCAUAAAGUAUUUAUAAAACACUGGUAUAGCUUAGUGUUGGAGAGCAGAAGAGAGAAUUGCUUGGGAUUGUCAAUGAUUUCUUAUCAUCUGCUAGAGGAAGACUAAAUAACAACAUCAUGAUGUUAAGGUAGAUCUAAAUGUGUUAACAAGAAGAAAUGUUGAGGAAGUCCUAAGUGGAAAAGAGAAAGAUGUAAAUAUGUAGUAUCAUACUACUUACAGUUUUUAAAAAGAUACAUAUGUUUACCCCAAGCACAUUCCUUUUUUUUUUUUUUUGAGACAGAGUCUUGCUCUGUCACCCAGGAUGGUGUGCAGUGGCGCGGUCUUGGCUCACUGCAACCUCCGCCUCCCGGGUUCAAGCGGUUCUCCUGCCACCUCAGACUCCCAAGUAGCUGGUAUUACAGGCACCCACCACUAUGCCGGCUAGUUUUUUGUAUUUUUAGUAGAGACGGGGUUUCUCCAUGAUGGCCUGGCUAGUCUCGAACUCCUGACCUCAAGUGAUUCACCUGCCUCAGCCUCCCACAGUGCUGGGAUUACAGGCGUGAGCCACCACACCCAUCCUCACAUUACUUUCAUGAUGGUUAUCUUCUAAGAUUUCCAUUAUAAAAUACAGAGUGUGGUGAGCAUUCUUGUACAUACAUCUUACAUACUUGUGCAAAUAUAUAUGUAGGUUAAAUUCUAAGAUGUGGAAUUGCAAAGUUUGUAAAGUAUGUGUAGUUUUCAUUUGAUAAACUUAAAAAAUCAAUAUCAAAAUUAAAGUCAUAAUUUUAUAUUGAUAAGGCCCUGGUGAAUUUAUAAAAUCAAACUUAUUUUUCUAGGUCCUAGGCCUACUUACAAGCCUCCAGUCUCAAAUUAUCCAGGAUAUCCUAAACCUGAGGAAGGAAUACUUGACAGUUUGGAUGUUUGGGUCAUUGCUGUGAUUGUUAUUGCCAUAGUUGUUGGAGUUGCAGUAAUUUGUGUUGUCCCGUACAGAUAUCUUCAAAGGAGGAAGAAGAAAGGGAAAGCAGAUGGUGGAGCUGAAUAUGCCACUUACCAGACUAAAUCAACCACUCCAGCAGAGCAGAGAGGCUGAAUGGAUUCCACAGCCUGGUUUGCCAGUUCAUCUUUUGACUCUAUUAAAGUCUUCAAUAGUUGUUAUUCUGUAGUUUCACUCUCAUGAGUGCAACUGUGGCUUAGCUAAUAUUGCAAUGUGGCUUGAAUGUAGGUAGCAUCCUUUGAUGCUUCUUUGAAACUUGUAUGAAUUUGGGUAUGAACAGAUUGCCUGUUUUCCCUUAAAUAACACUUAGAUUUAUUGGACCAGUCAGCACAGCAUGCCUGGUUGUAUUAAAGCAGGGAUAUGCUGUAUUUUAUAAAAUUGGCAAAAUUAGAGAAAUAUAGUUCACAAUGAAAUUAUAUUUUCUUUGUAAAGAAAGUGGCUUGAAAUCUUUUUUGUUCAAAGAUUAAUGCCAACUCUUAAGAUUAUUCUUUCACCAACUAUAGAAUGUAUUUUGUAUAUCGUUCAUUGUAAAAAGCCCUUAAAAAUAUGUGUAUACUACUUUGGCUCUUGUGCAUAAAAACAAGAACACUGAAAACUGGGAAUAUGCACAAACUUGGCUUCUUUAACCAAGAAUAUUAUUGGAAAAUUCUCUAAAAGUUAAUAGGGUAAAUUCUCUAUUUUUUGUAAUGUGUUCGGUGAUUUCAGAAAGCUAGAAAGUGUAUGUGUGGCAUUUGUUUUCACUUUUUAAAGCAUCCCUAAAUGAUCGAAUAUAUCAGUAAUUUCAGAAUCAGAUGCAUCCUUUCAUAAGAAGUGAGAGGACUCUGACAGCCAUAACAGGAGUGCCACUUCAUGGUGCGAAGUGAACACUGUAGUCUUGUCGUUUUCCCAAAGAGAACUCCGUAUGUUCUCUUAGGUUGAGUAACCCACUCUGAAUUCUGGUUACAUGUGUUUUUCUCUCCCUCCUUAAAUAAAGAGAGGGGUUAAACAUGCCCUCUAAAAGUAGGUGGUUUUGAAGAGAAUAAAUUCAUCAGAUAACCUCAAGUCACAUGAGAAUCUUAGUCCAUUUACAUUGCCUUGGCUAGUAAAAGCCUCUUAUCUAUGUAUGUGUCUUACCUCAUCUCCUAAAAGGCAGAGUACAAAGUAAGCCAUGUAUCUCAGGAAGGUAACUUCAUUUUGUCUAUUUGCUGUUGAUUGUACCAAGGGAUGGAAGAAGUAAAUACAGCUCAGGUAGCACUUUAUACUCAGGCAGAUCUCAGCCCUCUACUGAGUCCCUUAGCCAAGCAGUUUCUUUCAAAGAAGCCAGCAGGCGAAAAGCAGGGACUGCCACUGCAAUUCAAAUCACACUGUUAAAAGUUGUGUUUUGAAAUUUUAUGUUUAGUUGCACAAAUUGGGCCAAAGAAACAUUGCCUUGAGGAAGAUACGAUUGGAAAAUCAAGAGUGUAGAAGAAUAAAUACUGUUUUACUGUCCAAAGACAUGUUUAUAGUGCUCUGUAAAUGUUCCUUUCCUUUGUAGUCUCUGGCAAGAUGCUUUAGGAAGAUAAAAGUUUGAGGAGAACAAACAGGAAUUCUGAAUUAAGCACAGAGUUGAAGUUUAUGCCCAUUUCACAUGCUUUUCAAGAAUGUUGCAAUUACUAAGAAGCAGAUAAUGGUGUUUUUUAGAAACCUAAUUGAAGUAUAUUCAACCAAAUACUUUAAUGUAUAAAAUAAAUAUUAUACAAUAUACUUGUAUAGCAGUUUCUGCUUCACAUUUGAUUUUUUCAAAUUUAAUAUUUAUGUUAGAGAUCUAUAUAUGUAUAAAUAUGUAUUUUGUCAAAUUUGUUACUUAAAUAUAUAGAGACCAGUUUUCUCUGGAAGUUUGUUUAAAUGACAGAAGCGUAUAUGAAUUCAAGAAAAUUUAAGCUGCAAAAAUGUAUUUGCUAUAAAAUGAGAAGUCUCACUGAUAGAGGUUCUUUAUUGCUCAUUUUUUUAAAAAUGGACUCUUGAAAUCUGUUAAAAUAAAAUUGUACAUUUGGAGAUGUUUCA
rnacentral:sRNA from 1 species